ACCUACUCAGCCGUCAAUCUUUAUAGUUAUAUAAAGAAAACUAUGGUUAACGACUAAGCAAGUAGC
rnacentral:pre_miRNA from 1 species